AUUUUUCUAUACUUAAUUAGAAGUUAGAAGUGUUUUUAUUAUUUCUCUACGUACUUAGCGGGUUUAAAUGAUAAUUUCUUCCCCCAGCUGUUCAGCGAGGACGUUUGCCGCCAACACAGCAUAGCCUUCCGGGUCAGAUGGCUUUGACCAACGGAGACGCCUUGAAUGGUCAUUCGUACCUGUCCAGCUUCAUCUCGCUCCUGCUGAGAGCAGAACCCUACCAGCCAUCUCGGUAUGCUCAGUGUAUGCAACCUAAUAACUUCAUGGGAAUUGAUAAUAUCUGUGAAUUAGCGGCUCGCUUGUUGUUCAGUGCAGUCGAGUGGGCAAGAAAUAUCCCGUUCUUUCCCGACCUUCAAGUAACUGACCAAGUGGCUCUACUCCGACUCGUUUGGAGCGAACUCUUUGUGUUGAAUGCCUCUCAAUGUUCUAUGCCUCUACACGUGGCGCCCCUACUGGCGGCCGCUGGACUACACGCCUCACCCAUGGCGGCGGACCGUGUGGUGGCGUUCAUGGACCACAUUCGCAUCUUCCAGGAACAGGUAGAGAAGUUAAAGGCUCUUCACGUUGAUGCUGCCGAAUACAGCUGUUUGAAGGCGAUCGUUCUCUUCACGACAGACGCCUGUGGCAUCUCGGACGUCGGGCACAUCGAGAGCUUACAGGAAAAAUCCCAGUGUGCUCUGGAGGAGUACUGUAGGACACAGUACCCCAACCAGCCUACUCGGUUCGGUAAGCUUCUCCUUCGCUUGCCUUCCCUAAGGACCGUCAGCUCCCAAGUGAUAGAGCAACUGUUUUUUGUACGGCUGGUGGGAAAGACACCUAUAGAAACCCUCAUAAGGGACAUGUUGUUGAGUGGCAGCUCUUUCAACUGGCCCUACAUGCCACUGCAGUGACCCUUGUAGAGGUCAUGAUCACAUUUUCAAUAUGCCCCAUCUCUUGUGGUGAUCAUUCCUCACUGAAGAUAGACAAUAUUUAGUAUGAAAAUCCAUCAGCACGUCUGGAUCCUAAUGCUAUUCUUUAUGGAAAAUGAAGAAAGUGAAGAGUACCGUCGAGAAACCGUGGUUUUUCCGGCCCCAAAAGUUCAAGGCUCAGUUCAAGUCAAUUACUUAUUGCAACAAUGUUUAGAAUAAGUACUGAAGAUAAACUUGAUGUAUAUACGCGUUGCCAGGACACAACACAUCAUAUAUUACUAUACGCGUUGCCUGGACACAACGCACUAUAUAUAUUACAAUAUGCGUUGUCUACAAACGACUCGUCAUAUUUUACUUAUAGUGGGGAAAAAAAAUUAAAACAUUUGAAACAUCAAAUUACUGUUUUGUCAGCGCUGUAUAGAGUAGUUUUUAUCAUUUGAACAUUUUGUUUUCGUUAACAAGAGAAAUACGUCGAAAUUGCUUUUAUGACAUGGAGUUGUGCUACGCAAGUUACAGAACAUUUUAUAAUCAUGACAAGUUCUUCUUCAUUAAGGCAGUUUUGAAGAAAACAGUUUAUAAUUUAAACAUGUCUACUUGUCUAAAAUCACGCUGUAAUGUAAAAAAAAAAGAAUUAUAUGCCGGUGAAAGUUUUAUUUCAGGUUUUAGCUGUCUCAAGAAUUACUCCUUUUGACUUAUUGCUUUGGUUAGUGAAAAUCUACAAUGUAGCCAGUUAUUCAAACAGAUUUUUUUUUUCUGUCCACAAAAUGUUGCCAUAAAAUGAUAGUUUAUUAAUUAUGUUUCCAAGACAGGUCGCUGACGUAAUAAGUGUUUUUAUAAAAUAUUGAUAACAUUUUGUUUUAGACGCUGAUAUCUAGUUGUACAUUGUUUAUAUCUAAGUGUUGUUGGGAGAAAGAGCUCUGACAUACAUAAUGUCUUCAUUCAAUUACUGAAACGUAAAUCCCUCUCUCAAUUAAAGCCUGAAAAACAAAUGUGUAAUGAGUAAAAACCCCAUCUUUCUAGACGACGUCAGUUAGUUACAGAAAUAUAUCUGGCCAACAUCUAAAUAAAAACAUGCAUAUCUUCAACUGACACACGUGCAGUAUAUUUAUAAAUCAAAAGAAGGACGUGAGGAAACGAGAUAUGGCGAGAAGUUGAUGUUUGGCUUGAAUAAGCGCCUCAGACGAAACGUUUCUUCAGGAAGUUGUCUGUUUCUUGUGAGAAACACAACGUUAAACGACAACGAACCAAUUAUAACUAGAAAUACAUUUUUGGUUAAUUAUUGACAUUGUUCUCUACAUGUUAAACGAGGAGACAUUUAUCUUCUUCUUUUUAGAGGCGACGUUAAGGUCAGCCAGCAGGUCUAAUCAAAACCUUAGGCGACGUUAAGGUCAGCCAGUAGGUCUAAUCAAGGCCCUAGGCGACGUUAAGGUCAGCCAGUAGGUCUAAUCAAGGCCCUAGGCGACGUUAAGGUCAGCCAGCAGGUCUAAUCAAAACCUUAGGCGACGUUAAGGUCAGCCAGCAAGUCUAAUCAAGGCCUUUUCCAAGAUUAAAAUGUCUCCAGUCAAAACCAAUUAAGGACGGAUGUAGUCCACUGUACUUGAAAAAAAAAAUAAAUCAUAAUAUGCUUGUGUAUCAUCACUUGAGGUCGGCACUGCUAGAAUGUUGUAGGAUUCACAUGAUAUCUGACCAGCCACAUUUUGAAAGAGUAUAUUUCAUAUUUUGAAUGAGCAAAUUGAAGAAUAUUAUUCUGAAGGUUUUCAAAUAAAUUCUUAAAGUAUUUAUAAUAAAGCAAUGUGUCCUUUUUUUGUGAGGACCACACUAGGUUUUAACCUCGUCAUUACAUAAAACGAGCAAUCUUAUUAUUAAACUAAAUAACGACGUUCGUGUUAGGUUGUUAUGAGGACAUAAGGACCACACUAGGUUUUAACCUCGUCAUUACAUAAAACGAGCAAUCUUAUUAUUAAAUUAAAUAACGACGUUCGUGUUAGGUUGUUAUGUUGUCCUAGACGAAAAAAUUAUGGUUGUCACCGAAUUAGAUUGUAUAUUGCCCAAGGCAACAUAUUUGGGUUGUCACCGUGUUAGAAGUUGCUAUGUUUUCCAAAACAUCAAUCAACUUAUGGUUGGCACCAUGAUACGUUGUCACGGCGUUCAAGACAUCAACUUGUGGUUGUCACCAUGUUAGGUUUCCACGGCGUUCAAGACAUCAACUUGUGGUUGUCACUAUGUUAGGUUUCCACGGUGUUCAAGACACCAACUUAAGGUUGUCACUAUGUUAGGUUUCCACGGUGUUCAAGACAUCAACUUAAGGUUGUCACUAUGUUAGGUUUCCACGGUGUUCAAGACAUCAACUUAAGGUUGUCACUAUGUUAGGUUGCCAGGUUCCCAAGGUCUUCAAGAAAUCACCAGUAGAAUGAUCUCUAAGUUUGUUUUAAUAUUCGAGAAAGUAUUUUUUGUCUUUUAUAUCAUUCAAAUUUUUGUAUUACACAAAUAAAAUUGUUUCGACGAGGUUUUAACAUUUAUCUAGACACGUGGCAAAAAAAUAAAUAAACAAAUGAAAUAUGA
rnacentral:misc_RNA from 1 species